rnacentral:rRNA from 1 species
CGAAAACGAAUUCUCUCUUGAGUGGAUCCUGAGUACGACGGAGCACGUGAAAUUCCGUCGGAAUCUGGGAGGACCAUCUCCUAAGGCUAAAUACUCUCUAGUGACCGAUAGUGAACCAGUACCGUGAGGGAAAGGUGAAAAGUACCCCGGAAGGGGAGUGAAAGAGAACUUGAAACCGUGUGCUUACAAGUAGUCAGAGCCCGUUAAUGGGUGAUGGCGUGCCUUUUGUAGAAUGAACCGGCGAGUUACGAUCUGAUGCAAGGUUAAGCAGAAAAUGUGGAGCCGUAGCGAAAGCGAGUCUGAAUAGGGCGAAUGAGUAUUUGGUCGUAGACCCGAAACCAGGUGAUCUACCCUUGGUCAGGUUGAAGUUCAGGUAACACUGAAUGGAGGACCGAACCGACUUACGUUGAAAAGUGAGCGGAUGAACUGAGGGUAGCGGAGAAAUUCCAAUCGAACUUGGAGAUAGCUGGUUCUCUCCGAAAUAGCUUUAGGGCUAGCCUCAAGUGAUGAUUAUUGGAGGUAGAGCACUGUUUGGACGAGGGGCCCCUCUCGGGUUACCGAAUUCAGACAAACUCCGAAUGCCAAAUAAUUUAACUUGGGAGUCAGAAUGUGGGUGAUAAGGUCCAUAUUCGAAAGGGAAACAGCCCAGACCACCAGCUAAGGUCCCAAAAUAUAUGUUAAGU